rnacentral:SRP_RNA from 8 species
AGGAGUUCAACUUCUCCCGAGGCGCUGCUCACGACGUCGUAGACGCGCUUGUCUCCCUGAGCUGCCGUGGAGCGGCGGUUGUUGCCGAAGAACACUGGCGGCAGACCCAUGAAUCCAAAGCGCACAGGCGGAGGGCGGGAGCAGCACCAA